AAGACGGAGUGGAGAAGUAGAGGAAGUGCGGCACCAAAUUCCAUCCGUGCCAGCUACCAGGCCUACCUUCCUCUAGCUUCGCUUCAUCUACUACGGCUUCGCAAUGUAUGAAAGCGGUUUCGAGUCAUCCUUCAUUGCCGAUGAUACAGCGACUGGCCACACGUCAGAUCUGCCUCCGCUGUCGAUGACAGAAGAGGUCAAGCCAGGUAA